AGAGGACGCGCGACCUUUAUCCGGUUUGGUCCGCUCUAAAAUCAAAACCUACCGGAAACCCGAGCUGCAGUGGCGGGCAGGCAACGAGCUGGUCCUUCGGGCUGGAGCCGGGCGCGGGGGGCGUGGCUUUCGCGGAGUCGCGCUUUCGCCGGGACUGCUGAAAGCCAGCGUCCGGGGCAGAGUUUAAUAUGAGUUAGACCUUAACUGAAUGCUGCUAAAUUUGAGAGCAAAAAGGAGCAUACGCAUAAUGUGAAGUGUGUGUGUGGUUAAGGCAGCCUCCAAACACGUGUGAUGGAGCUCAUGGUAACUCACGGAAGAUACAGAUCUGUCCUGGCUUCUUAUUGGCAUUUAUUCCUAUGCCACCCACGUAGAACUCCAAAUGUGGAUCCAAGGACUGCUGAGCUGUGAACACUCUAUUUGUGUAAUUCUGCCAGUGACCACUCCUAAACCUCAGAAGAAUCAAAGGAGAGCAAAGAUAUGCUGAACUGUUAAAAAAAAAAAAAAAAAAAAACCCUUGAGGACACUUACAAGAAUGUGAGUUCUUCUAUAGUGCACCCUGUCAGAUCGAGGUCCUAAGGGUCAGGACCACCAAUGUACACUUUUUGGCUGUUAGGGCUUCUGGGCAUGAUUUGGGGCAAAGUGGUAUAUGCAUAUGUACCAGCCUGCCCAAUGCUCCGCACAGAAAUUAGGACUAACCACAGCUGAAAGAUGAAACCCUCACUUGGUACAAAGAAUAGGUGAAUUGUGAGCCCUGGGUCAAAAUACCUUCUUUUACCUUCCUCCAUCCCUAAAUAGGAUUUGUGUGUGUGUGUGUGCACACGCAUGUGUGUUUUGUACUUUAAAUCAGAAUAAAAAGACAUGAGACAGAAGGGCUUUCCCA
rnacentral:lncRNA from 1 species